rnacentral:rRNA from 1 species
GAUGAACGCUGGCGGCGUGCCUAAUACAUGCAAGUCGAGCGAACAGACGAGGAGCUUGCUCCUCUGACGUUAGCGGCGGACGGGUGAGUAACACGUGGAUAACCUACCUAUAAGACGGGGAUAACUUCGGGAAACCGGAUCUAAUACCGGAUAAUAUAUUGAACCGCAUGGUUCAAUAGUGAAAGACGGUUUUGCUGUCACUUAUAGAUGGAUCCGCGCCGCAUUAGCUAGUUGGUAAGGUAACGGCUUACCAAGGCAACGAUGCGUAGCCGACCUGAGAGGGUGAUCGGCCACACUGGAACUGAGACACGGUCCAGACUCCUACGGGAGGCAGCAGUAGGGAAUCUUCCACAAUGGGCGAAAGCCUGACGGAGCAACGCCGCGUGGGUGAUGAAGGUCUUCGGAUCGUAAAACUCUGUUAUUAGGGAAGAACAAAUGUGUAAGUAACUAUGCACGUCUUGACGGUACCUAAUCAGAAAGCCACGGCUAACUACGUG